UCUCUCCCUCUCUCUCGCCCCCUUCGUGCUCGUCGUCGAUCCGCCCGUCUCCUACUCACCUAUGCGUAGUGGGUGUUCCUCGUCUUCAAUGGGCAUUCUGUUCUAACUCGAACCAGCCGCUUCUCAAAUUCUCUGGUUUUGUGCCGCUUCGAGAAAGAAGCCAGGGCCUUCCCCCCCCCCCCCCCCCCCCCCCCGGAAAACCGCUUUCAUGCGCCGGAAAACCCCUUAGAGGCUUCCUUUCUUUGUCUAUCUCUCGGUUGUCGUUCGGUCUGCAGAUAUGACAGUCGGUUGCCCACCGUUAAUCGAGAUCGACAGACAAUUGGAGAUAGUAUAGCUAGGAAGAGGGAUCCAAGUACCAACGACCACCAAGGCCUUUGUUUCAAAACCCGUGAGUUGUUUCCUAGUUUUCUUCUUCUUGUUUUCUUUCCUAAGUAUUGCACCUCUCCCUGCUAGGUUAAGCUUCUCUUUUUCUGGUUUCCUUAGUUUCUAUUUCCUAGCGGUGGAGAACCUUGUUUGGCAGUCCACCCACAUUCCCUUUUCCGGGUUUCUAACUCUUUUUCUUAUUUUUACUGAUUUUUCUAUAGAUGAUAAGAAUGAGAAACUCUACCCUUCUUUCUUUUGUUGAUUUAUUUUGAAGUUAGAAGUUGAGAAGAUGUGCCAAACAAUAGUCACGCACUUUCUUCUUUUCUGUUCAUGUUUCUGGAGAUGAAAGAAAUGAGAAGCCAUUCUCUAAUCUUGGUUUUCUUUUCUUCCUCAUAGAGCAAUUCUUUAUAUCCCGAACUCCGUUUCCAAUUCUGAAACCAGAGGUAGGGGCAGUCUCCCAAAUUCCACAAGCAAGAAUGAUAUUAAGAAACCGAUGGUAUUAGAUCAAUCAACAGUUGGUUUAGUGUAUACAAAUUCUUAUAAAGCCUCAGUCCGACUGCUGAAGAUGAUCGGACGGUGGGUCCCGUGUUUCAUGGUUUACCCUUUUUAGGUUUAACUAUGUACUGCACACGAAAAGCAGGAUGGUACUCUCUCUCUCGCUCUCUCUCUCUCUUACGGCUCUAUCAUGUCUCAGUUGUAUUGGCAUCAGGAGCCUUCUCAGAGAGUAGUGUCAAGUUGGUUUUUCCCGAAAACUAUUUUUUCAAAAAAAAAAAAAAACUUUUUUUUUGCAGCUUGAUCAUCUGUCAGAGAGAGAGAGAGAGAGAGAGGGAGAAAGAGAGAGUUGGACGGAAGAAAGAGUGCAGUAAUUUGUGCAGAGGCAGCGGAUGCAUGCACCAGCAGCAGUCUGAUCAUCAAAGGCGUUGGUCCCUUUCUCGUGCAUGGGAAGAGAGAGAGAGAGAGAGGGAGGAUACAGAGACAGAGAUAUUUGUUGCAGUCGGUGUUUGCAGAUGUAGCAUCAUCAAGAUUCACAACCUCCAAGAGAGGUGGCCCCUCCCAUGUUCUCCAUCUCUGCCCCCUCCCCGCCCCCCCUUCUCUCUCUCUCUCUCUCUCUCUCUCUCUCUCUCUCUCUCCCUGUGUGCACUAUUACAUGGUGGGUGUACAUGUGAGCUUCAGAUGGAAGGAGGACUGACAGUGAGAAUCUUGAUGAUGCUGCAUCGGCAAUUAGCGACUAAUGGUCUUACCUGUUGCUGGACGCUGCUCAAUCUUUUGACAGAUUGGAAAGAAUAAGGACGAAAAAAAGCUUAAAUGGAAGACCCAACAAAGCUUUGUGGCAUGGAUCUUUUUGCCAACAAGGAAUCAGUGGAUUGUAUCAUUGUAGCAGCAUUUUUCCAAAGGGAAAGACAGUAAUCAUUCAGGGUUCUUGAUGCAUGCAGAAGUUCUGCCUGGUCGCAGAGAAACAACAUCUUUAAUCUCCAUAUGUCAUUAUUUCUCAUCGCCGGCCGUCUUGAUUUAGUAAGGAGGCUACCUCCACGCUCUCAGGUAGCUACCGAUACCCAUCGAAACUGUUUCUGAAUGAAGCCUUUCUUUGUGUUUCCUGGGGAGAACAGAGAGAUCAAUCUGGGAAUAAGAGACUUACGGCACUACUCAACCUGUCAGUGACCGCCGAUCACCUCCGCUGCCUUGGAAACUUGCUUUUAUGUCAUUUUGAGCCAUCAGCUUGACGAAUGGCCAUUGCGGAUUAGUAGGUGCAUUGAUUUGACGCAGAGUAUGGUGGGUAGAUCUUUUACAUGUGUCUGUAGUUAGUGGAUGUAAUAUUUAUGGGAAUCUGAGCUGGUGGAGGAGGACACAGUCCCAUCGUUGUGAUUCCCCAAAUGACAAAAAAAUUCUGAACUUUCAAGGGGAAAAACUACAGAAACAUUCGCUUACUGCCACAAGAAACUAUGCAAUCUCAUGAAGUUGGGACCAAAUUAUGGAGUAAAAAGUAAACAUUCUCCCAAGAAGAAAAAGAAAAGACAUAGUAUCAUCACACUCAAACUUUCUGGUGGAUAUCGGCCAUGCUGUUAGAUAUUCUUGAUACCCAAAAAAGAUUUCCUUGUUGGUCCUUUCAAAAACAUGGCAUUGUUCAGCCUCUCGGCCUUUUCUAUUAUUUCCCUCUCAUUUUUAUCGUCCACCACUCGUGAUCUUUCUCCCUCCCUUUCUCUCUCUCUCUCUCUCUCUCUCUCUCUCUCUCUCUCUCGAGAGAGAGAGAGAAGGCGCGCUUACACACAUACACUAGCACGAAGGCAUACUCGAGAGAGAGAGAGAGAGAGAGAGAGAGAGAGAAGGCGCGCUUACACACAUACACUAGCACGAAGGCAUAGGUACAUCGCAUCUAGCAUAAGACGGGGAAAUGUACUGACUAUAAUCAAGGCAGGCGGGGCAUGGGGGAUGUUGCAUUAGUCUUCUUUUCCUUCCAAUGGGCCUUACCCAGAGUUAAUGCCAUCUGGAAGAGUCUUGCCAUCCAUGAAAUGCACUGGGGAAACAUGUACCUUUUGGUCCCUACCUUUCUGGGUUUCAUAACUCUAAUAUUGAAUGCAUUGAAUAUGUUUAUUUUAUCAGUUCAUUUUUAUGCAUUGCACUUGUACAUACUAUUGUUAUUAUUGUGCUGUUGGCGGUAUGCAGCCUCAUUCACAUUCUAUUAUUGCGCCUAUUUCAUAUAUAUAUAUAUAUAUAUAUAUAUAUAAAGGGGGAGAGAGAGAGAGAGUCAGCUCUCGUUUUAUUACAUUUUUCAACAUGCUUGAAAUUAAAUUCAAAAUAUAUACGACCUGAAUAUGACGGAGCAAAUUAAGAGUUUCCUUUUUAUCUGUAAUCUCUCUGUCUCUCUCGCUCUUUAUCUGACUCACACACAUACACACCGACGCGCAUAUUAUGACGGACAUGCAGGCACGUACACAUAAAGUUUACUGCAAUAGACUUUCUUUUGCAUACAUACGAGCGCGGGUGUUCCAGUAUAUGUAUAUUACCUUUUGACAGAAGACGACUCCUUUACUUUUGGAAACUUUUCAGCAGGAUAAGUGCGAACUAGAAGGGGACCUGAGAAAAGAUUUGAUUCAGUAACUUUGGAGAGACUGUGACACUACGUAGCGGGAAGGGAAGAUAAAGGGCAUCGGUAAAGUGGGCUUUCCUUUUCUUAGCCUUCUUUCCUUUUUCCGGAUUGACACCGAUUAUCAGGCGUUACCUUGCAGUCAUAUUUUUACGUAUCAAGCACAACUAACUAAGAGAAGACAUAGUCUUAGCCGAACGGUGUUCUUGAAUUAUUUACUGUAAUCAUGACCUCCAUGUUCUUGGUUUAUCUACUGCUAACUGGUCAUGAAAUUUAGUGUCAAUUUGAAAGGAAGAAGCACAUAUCCUCCUGCUUAAUUCUGUUCUUUCUCAGAGGAUGACAGUACGCAUCAGGGGAAGACGGUCUCUACUUGCAGACAAGCUACGGAGCCAAAGCCUUCAAAUAUGUGGGUUGCUCCAAUUUAGUUUCGCCAAGAACGUUCUUGACCGUAUGCGCCUAACGAACUAUAAUGAAAAGUUUUGAAGUAGUAAGCUCCAAUUCCUAACGGAUGAGCAGCUGAAGAAGAUUUACUGACUUGCAUGUGGACCUUUGGCAAUGAAGCUAUUGUCAUGUGGAUGGCUUUCCUGUCUCUACCGUCCCGAUUGCUCCAGCUUCAUGCUUUCUUUUUCUGUCAGAACCAUCUUCGCACCCCUUGCUACAUAACUGUUCUAGCAGCAUUCAUCACCAUACGUGAAGGCUGGGCCUGAAAUCCUCCUCAUAUCGUGACUCCCUUUUCUUCAAAUUCUGCAACGCAAACUAUUUAUCUUUUCAGUGAAGCCUGGAUCUCUGGAUCUUGUUGUAAACCCCAGUAUGAUGAACAAAAGAUACAUAUGCACCCUUUGUCUUUA